rnacentral:rRNA from 1 species
UACGGGGGGGGCAAGCGUUGUUCGGAAUUACUGGGCGUAAAGGGCUCGUAGGCGGCCAACUAAGUCAGACGUGAAAUCCCUCGGCUUAACCGGGGAACUGCGUCUGAUACUGGAUGGCUUGAGUUUGGGAGAGGGAUGCGGAAUUCCCGGUGUAGAGGUGAAAUUCGUAGAUAUCGGGAGGAACACCAGUGGCGAAGGCGGCGACCUGGACGGACACUGACGCUGAGACGCGAAAGCGUGGGGAGCAAACAGG